rnacentral:tRNA from 1 species
UAGCUCAGCUGGUUAGAGCAUCUCGUUUACACCGAGAGGGUCGGGAGUUCGAAUCUCUC